GGAAUAUUACCAUCAGAAUUAACAGAUUCUUUAACUUGGUUUAAACUGCCAUGUGGAAAUUUGGAUUGAACUACUGAAUGGAGACUUGAUAAACCCAAUUGAUUAUUGAGUGAAGCAGUGACUCAUUCUGAUUAACUGAAGGAUCUUACUAAUAACUUUGAGCUUUCAAAGAUGAACACAAUGGUAACCUGCAACAGAGGGAAAACUUAGAAAGGAUCACUAGCUUCAGUUAGGGAGUUCAAUACUAUGGUAAAGAGGCUAGAUACCUUGUACGAGAAUAAUUAUAGGAAUAACUUUACAUUUUAUACUUGAAGUGAAUAACUGUAAUUCAGGUUGCAAUCACUUACUGGAUAAAAGAAUACUCCGAAUAGGUGUUUACUGUCAUGGUAAUCUAUGAAUGUCAAUUGUAUUAGGAUUCAAAGUCGCUCCCCUCUAUAAAGUAGCUCAAACGAAAUUGCUCUAGCAUAACUUCUCAAGGUGCCCAGAAUUCUCACUCGGCACUCAGUAAUUAUGCUUGGCACCCAUGUCCCAUCUAUACCCUGUUAUCACUUACUUUUUGACAGUCUUAUAUAUUCCCAAUAAUGGCUUGCUAAAUUUCCCCAAGGUUAGAAUGAAAAGCAUGUAAAUCUUUUGUUUAGAU
rnacentral:misc_RNA from 1 species